rfam:Neurospora crassa OR74A linkage group I, whole genome shotgun sequence.
GCGGGUUUAGCUCAGUUGGGAGAGCGUCAGACUGAAGUCCACUUCAUUCGUAAAUCUGAAGGUCGUGUGUUCGAUCCACACAAACCGCA